GAUUUUUGGUAGCUUACAAGUAAACUACCCAUCUGAACCUGACCAUGUAAGUUCAAAAUGUGCCAGCAUUUAUGUGUUUAUUUGGUUUUUACUGUGAUAUGAGAGGGUUCAAUGUAUUGAUUAUACAUUAGUCAUUGGCAGCAAAUAUAACAAGGAACUUUGUUAAUAUUUUCUUUAAUUGUGAUUGUGUGGAGCAAUGUUUGAAACGGGCUACUAACAAACUGAUGUAACUUACCAUAGAAGUAUUUACAAGAAUUUAACCGCAGGAUAACUUGUUUACUUGGCCUUGAAACACAUGCUUGAUAAAAAAUAUUUACAUUUUAAAAUUUGAAGUAAGCAUAUGAUUAAAUUAAUAAGCAACUAGAACUUGAUAAGUUUAGAAAAUAUUGUCAUCCGACAUAAACUGAGCUACAAAUAAGGAUAUUUCUUCUCAGAUGUUUUUUUCGAAUCUCUACAGAGACAGAAGAAUGACAUGAGAAAAACAUACCUAAAUAAAUGAUAUGAAGCAUUCAACCACCCAUGACUAUGAAGAGGUACAGUAAAAACCAGCCAUUGUAAGAUGUUUACAGAAAUUAAUGAAAAUGGAAAAUGAAACUUUUGUCAUUGGAGAAUGUAACAAGAAUACACAAUUAAAAGAUGAAGACAGUUUUGAUUAUUUUGGAAAGUAUGUUGCCUCAUUGCUGCGAGAAUUUCCACAAGGUUCUGCUGAUGAGCUACAGAGGGAAAUAGUGCGUCUCAUAUUUAAUUCCAAAUUUAAACUUAACAUUAAACACAGCGAAGACUUUAAGAAAAAACUGAAAAAUAAAACGUCUUACCCCAAAGAAAUAUUAGAGUGAAAAACUUUAUUUUAUAAACUUAUUUACUUAUUUAUAUUUUAGGAAAAAAAUAGUGACAUUUGGAAAAAAAUGUAAAUAAAGGAAUCUUCUGUCU